UUUUAUUUUAGAAGAAUCCAAAGGAAAUUCCAGCACUAUGUUACCUCAUUAUCUGGUAUCCAUGGUGGUUCAUCUAACAGGAAUGGACUAGAGACAUCUUCCUCUAAACUGACGGUGCGAAGGCCACUUUUUGAUCGCACUAACAUUUUCCCAGGGGCCGCCAUAUUUACAACUAAUCAGAGGCAACAAGAGUGAUGUAAACAUGUGGAAUAUUAAAAUAGGAAUAAAAACCUAAAUAGUCAUUCAAAUUAUUUUCUUGGCCAAAACACCUGUUUUGAAAUAUUAAACAUAUCAUAAGAAAAGGAUCGAAUCAAAAACACAGUAAAUUUAUCAAAAUUAUAAAGAUCAAUCUUAGUGUCCUUUAAAUAAUGACGUCAUUUCUACUUCGAAAAACAACAUUUCUAUUAUCGCCCACUAUUUCUCAAAUAUGUAGAUUAGUCAUUGUCACAUCAAUUUGGACAUUCGGAUGGAAUAAAUCAUGAUAUAGUGUAGUUCACUUGUCAAAGUAUACACAUAAACAAAAACGAUGUUCUAAUGUAGCAGGAUUAUAUGGUAAUUCUCAACUAGAAAAUGGCAAACUUUCGGGGUUCGACUUCUGAUUUCAUCAAUUUUUUGACUAUGAAAAAUUCAAAUUAUUGGAGAAAUAUAGCUGGGUUGUUUAUCAUAUUACCCCAGUUUAUACAUGGAUCAAUGUAUCACAUAACUGAUCAAGAGUGGGAAUGGAGGGAUGGCAGUGCUGAAGGAGGACAAUAUUCUACCCAAAUUAUUGACAGUGAUCCAAUAAAAACCCAGCAAUAUCCUGGUUCCCGACAGGGUGCUACAGUAUGGAAUUCUGGGAAGGAACUCUGGCUAUUUGGUGGGAAAGGACCAAAUGGUCGAUCAGGUGCAAUAAAUGAUUUGUGGAAAAUGGAGAAUGAAACAAUGAAGUGGAGUUUAGUUGAGUUUGAUGUUGGUUCUCCCAAGCCAGAGGGAAGAAUGUUAGCCUCAUCUUGUGGUGUACCUGGCUUGUUCUUCUUCAUAUUUGGAGGCAUGGAUGAUAAUGCACAUUUUGGUGAUGCCUGGGUGUUUUACAUGAAAAAGCAAGAAUGGGUUCCCUUGAUAAAUCAAUCUAGAAUUGUUCCACCUAGAGGGGCAGCUGCGUAUUGGUGUCUAAAGGAUAGACUGAUUAUAUAUGGUGGCAGAAAUGUGAAAGGGGACAUAUUAUCUGACAUGUGGUCACUUUCAUUGAAAGACCUUCAGUGGACGCUGCUAAAUAACCCAAGCCCCUCCCCUGGCAGUAGAGAUGGGGGAGCAACAUGGAGUGCCAAAAAUGAAACAAUGAACUUGUAUUUAUUUGGAGGUAAUUCACUAGAGACGAGAGACAGUCACCUGUCUAAAGGCUUCAUGUCGGAUCUCUGGCAGUUCACAGUAGAGACAAACUCCUGGCAGUUACUACAUGGUGACAGUGUUAGACACAAGCCAGGAGUGUAUGGAUCCCUAGGUAUACCUGAUCAAUCUAACAUCCCAGGGAGCAGAAAGCAUAGUGCUACAUGGAUUGACACUCACGGCGAUUUAUGGAUGUUUGGGGGAGGUGGCCAAGAUAAAGAAACUAAAACCACCCCCAGCCAAUCAGGAAAACUUCUCUCUGACCUCUGGGUGUUUGAUAUUCAACAGAGAGUUUGGGUCUGGCUAGGGGGGCCAGAUAUAGGAGAACAGGAGGCCUUCUAUGGGAAACUGCGGAGUAAGUCCCACCAGCAUAUACCUGGGCCUCGCUGGCAGGCUGUCACAUGGUCACACAAGAACACAUUCUAUAUGUUUGGAGGAGAGGGGCAUGAUAAAAACAAUCAAGAUAGUAUAUUAAAUGACCUGUGGUUAUUAACAUUCAAUAUACCCCCCGUGGGACAUAAAAAUGACCCUAAUGGCUUUUUAGGCAUUGGACAAUCUCUCAGUCCUGGAGCUUUAUUAGGGGUAUGUUUUGCAGGAGCAUGCCUCAUCGCAAUUCUAUUUGUUCUGUUGAUGUAUGCAAAGAAGUGUUGGCAUGCUCCAAGACACAAACCUGUGUUGUACAACAUAAGGUAUUCAUCUUUGAUUGACGAUGAGCAAUUUGAAGAUGAUUUUACUGAUGACGAACAAGAUGAGCUAUUUGAACAAAAUAAAUGGCGUCAAAAUGGAAAAUCCAGUAACACGAUGAGAUAAUAGAUGGACAAGACAGUUUCUUAUUCAUUUAAUCUUCUUUAAUUGGAUUAGUCAACUAUUAUAUCAGGCGUAGUCACCUUUUGUAAGGCCUAGGUACCUAUUUUAAGACCUAGGUAGCAUCCAUUGUAAGGCCCGCACUGUAAAAUCACGGUACCAUAUGGUACAUAAAGAGUAUCCAGGUACCAUAAGGUACCGUUGGAGUAUGGUGUUGUUUAGUGUUCAGGGUACCGUACUGUAUCAUUUUAGUCUGCGGUACCAUACAGUAUCAUAUCAUACGGUACUGUACGGUUCUGUUGCAGAUGGGCUGUGUAGUCACCCAUUGUAAGACCUAGGCCCAUAUCGGAAGGCCUGAGGCCUCAUUAUCUGGUCAGCGCUAAAUUAGGCAAUGCAUUUGGGCUGGUUUCCCUUUGAGAUGACUGAAUAAUACCGACUUGCUUGCCACUCGCUAAAUAUUUAC
rnacentral:misc_RNA from 1 species